rnacentral:rRNA from 1 species
AUUGAACGCUGGCGGCAGGCCUAACACAUGCAAGUCGAGCGGAGCGGCGGACGGGUGAGUAAUGCCUAGGAAUCUGCCUGGUAGUGGGGGAUAACGUCCGGAAACGGGCCCUAAUACCGCAUACUAUCAGAUGAGCCUCGGUCGGAUUAGAUAGUUGGUGGGGUAAAGGCCUACCAAGGCGACGAUCCGUAACUGGUCUGAGAGGAUGAUCAGUCACACUGGAACUGAGACACGGUCCAGACUCCUACGGGAGGCAGCAGUGGGGAAUCUGGGACAAUGGGCGAAAGCCUGAUCCAGCCAGGCCGCGUGAGUGAAGAAGGUUUUCGGAUUGUAAAGCUCUUUAAGUAGAGAGGCGUUACCAACAGAAUAAGCACCGGCUAACUUCGUGCCAGCAGCCGCGGUAAUUC